GAAUAAUUGUACACUUUCAUGGGGAGAGAAAAGCUCUGCAGCUUAACAUUUUCCGUUACCAAGGAAUUCCUGACGCUUGCUGGCUCCCUGUAAUGGAAAUGAUACCCAGGACACCCAAGGCAUAUUCGGGCACUGAGGAUUUGACCACCAUCAGACAGAAGGCUGAAGACCCUGCAUGGCAGACAGGAGAAGGUGCAGGUCAGGGCAAACAUCACCUGCCCAGAGCUCAGGGCCCUCUCUCUGCACCCUCAUCCUUGGACGAAGGGAAUCCCUUGCAAAUGCCUCUCAUCCCAGGGACUGACACUUCUCCAAAUGUUUCCCUCCCAGCAUUUGAACAAUUCUCUCAGGGAUUCCUGGGGUGACCAUGGAGCUGGAAUUGAUCUUUGUGGGUCCCUUCCCACUGAGAAUAUUCUGUGAUCCUGUGACUCCAGGGUGAAUUUGGCUCAUAAACUGAUAGUCCCUGCAGGGAAGGAGAACCGCUCCACCCGUAGGAUUUCAAAGCCUUACAAACCCAGUUCAGAAGCCACUUGAGAAGAGGGGGACUAACAUUAAGAAUCUUACUUUAAAUUUUAUCCUCUCAAUUUCCUAGGCAAAAAUGUACAAUGACAAAUGAGUGUAGUGUUAAACAUGAGUGUCCUUACGUGGCAAAGUAAAUUAAUAUUACUGCCCAGAAAACCAGGGUCACAUGAAUGUGAAUUGGUGUGGUUUCCAUCUCUGUAUUGUCCUAAAAUAUCUGUCAGUAUUGCUGCAACAAAUAGAGCUGAAACACAGCAAAAAUGAGAAAGUUGAUUUCUUUGACAAUUCUUAGAGGUCCUGUCUGCCACUAGCCUUAAUGUCUGUUGUUAUUAUGUGGUGUUUCUGUACGUUGUACAAAAUGUCUGGCU